rnacentral:rRNA from 1 species
GAUGAACGCUGGCGGCGUGCUUAACACAUGCAAGUCGAACGAUGAAGCCCAGCUUGCUGGUUGGAUUAGUGGCGAACGGGUGAGUAACACGUGAGUAACCUGCCCUUAACUCUGGGAUAAGCCUGGGAAACUGGGUCUAAUACCGGAUAGGAGCGCCUACCGCAUGGUGGGUGUUGGAAAGAUUUAGCGGUUUUGGAUGGACUCGCGGCCUAUCAGCUUGUUGGUGAGGUAAUGGCUCACCAAGGCGACGACGGGUAGCCGGCCUGAGAGGGUGAACGGCCACACUGGGACUGAGACACGGACCAGACUCCAACGGGCGGCAGCAGUGGGGAAUAUUGCACAAUGGGCGAAAGCCUGAUGCAGCGACGCCGCGUGAGGGAUGACGGCCUUCGGGUUGUAAACCUAUUUCAGUAGGGAAGAAGCGAAAGUGACGGUACCUGCAGAAGAAGCACCGGCUAACUACGUG